rnacentral:lncRNA from 12 species
AGGACGAGGUGAUUUUCCCUCUCACCGUGGCCCUGGAUCGGCUCCCGCCCGGCACCGCCAAGGCCAAGAUCGUGGUGACGGUGUGGCAGCGGGACACGGAGCCGCCGGAGCUGCAGGAGGGGACGGGGCCGGGAGAGGUGACAGGGACAGGGCCAGGAGAGGUGACAAUGACAGGGACAGGGACAGGGACAGGGACAGGCGGGGACCUGCGGCUGCUCCAGGGCCGCGCCCCCGGCCAGGUGUUCCGGCAGCAGCACGGCAGCUUCAAGGCACAAGGUGAGA